rnacentral:misc_RNA from 1 species
GGGGGGGGGGAUCAGAGGGAGGCGAAGUUCGAGCACUGAGAGGAGGGAACUCGAUGUAUGGAUGAGGACCGACGGUGGUCUUCUCUAGCGUGGGGAGGACCAGCGACGACAUCAGGGCUAGAGAGGAGACAGGAGUUAGACAUGGCACAGGCGAGUCGAGCACACAGGAGAGGCACGACUGACAAGGACAACCACCAGGGCGCCAUGACGAGGAUGGUGAUAGGGAGGGGCUCGACCAACGAGGAAAUUGCUGGCACCGAGGCUUGCAACCUUACAGUCAGAAAGGAGGGAGCAGGGGCAAGCACCGUGUGGGGGAGGGAGAUAAGGGAGCAGGGAAAUGUCAGCUUCAAGCAGAGGGAGGGCGGUGCGAGGAUAAGGAGAGAGUUGGGCGGUGGAUAUAAUGAGAAUUCAGAUUUUUCC